rnacentral:rRNA from 1 species
UACGUAGGGUGCAAGCGUUGUCCGGAAUUAUUGGGCGUAAAGAGCUCGUAGGCGGUCUGUCGCGUCGGAUGUGAAAACCCAGGGCUCAACCCUGGGCCUGCAUUCGAUACGGGCAGACUAGAGUUCGGUAGGGGGAGACUGGAAUUCCCGGUGUAGCGGUGAAAUGCGCAGAUAUCGGGAGGAACACCUAUGGCGAAGGCAGCUCGCUGGGACGUACUGACGCUGAGACGCGAAAAGCGUGGGGGAGCAAACAGG